rnacentral:rRNA from 1 species
AGCGAACGCUGGCGGCAGGCCUAACACAUGCAAGUCGAACGGACCCUUCGGGGUUAGUGGCGGACGGGUGAGUAACACGUGGGAACGUGCCUUUAGGUUCGGAAUAGCUCCUGGAAACGGGUGGUAAUGCCGAAUGUGCCCUUCGGGGGAAAGAUUUAUCGCCUUUAGAGCGGCCCGCGUCUGAUUAGCUUGUUGGUGGGGUAAUGGCCCACCAAGGCUACGAUCAGUAGCUGGUCUGAGAGGAUGACCAGCCACAUUGGGACUGAGACACGGCCCAAACUCCUGCGGGAGGCAGCAGUGGGGAAUCUUGCGCAAUGGGCGAAAGCCUGACGCAGCCAUGCCGCGUGUAUGAUGAAGGUCUUAGGAUUGUAAAAUACUUUCACCGGUGAAGAUAAUGACUGUAGCCGGAGAAGAAGCCCCGGCUAACUUCGUGCCAGCAGCCGCGGUAAUACGAAGGGGGCUAGCGUUGCUCGGAAUUACUGGGCGUAAAGGGAGCGUAGGCGGACAUUU